rnacentral:lncRNA from 1 species
UCCGCAACCAAACUUUACAAUCUGCAAACAUUGAGGCUCUUGGGUUUACUGAGACUCACACUUCCAGAUGGAUUGGAAAUUUUGACAAGCUUGAAGCACUUGUAUUUUGGUAAAAAAGAACAUCAACUAGUUAAUAUUGGAAACCUAACUUGUCUUCAAACAUUACCCAUAUUUUUUGUGGGAUCAGAAAGGGGGCAUUCGAUUAAGGAGUUAGGAUCCCUAGACGAACUGCGUGGAGAAUUGAAGAUAUGCCAUCUUGAGGGUGUUAGAGACGAACAAGAGGCUAAAGGAGCAAAUCUGCACCGUAAAGAAAAAUUAUUCAAGGUGAUAUUUGAUUUUGGACGGUGUGAUAGUGGGAGUAGUGGUUAUAACAGUGAGGAAGUGAUGGAAGGUCUCCAACCACACUCAAAGUUGCAAAGCUUAACUGUUUCGCUUUACAGAGGUGAAAGCUUUCCCUCGUGGAUGUUAAGACCUGUUGGUGAUUCUAAUACUAAUCUGUUUUUGCUUAACAAUUUGAUGGAGCUGAAGUUUUUCUAUUGCAAGAACUGUGAAAGUCUUCCACCUCUGGGCCAAUUGCACAAUCUCCAGUAUCUUGAGUUGAUAAAGCUGACGAAAGUGAAACGCAUGGGUAAUGAAUUUUAUUGCAACGAAAGUGUUGAUGGUAUGAAUAAGGUGAUCAAGGUGUUUCCUGCAUUGAAAAAAUUCACCUUAAGGUUUAUGGACAGUCUAGAAGAAUGGACAGGAAUGGCGGAAACAAAGAUGAUCAUGUUUCCUUGCUUGGAGCGGCUGGAGAUUACGAGGUGUCCCUUGUUGAAAAGUGUUCCACUAACGGGACAAUGCUCAUCUCUUCAAAAGCUUCACAUUUCCAGUUGUGAAAAAUUAAGCAAGAUUGGAGAUGGAUUAUCUACCUCCACUUGUCUCAAAAAAUUACAUCUAGGCAAUUGUCCUGAUUUAAGUUCGAUCCCAAAUUUGGAAGGAUUUUCCUCUCUUCAAGAUCUGUCAGUUUGUGGGUGCCUCAAAUUGGAAGUUCUUCCAAUAACUGGAGGAUGUUCAUCUCUUGAAGAGCUGGAGAUUACGAGGUGUCCCUUGUUGAAAAGUGUUCCACUAACGGGACAAUGCUCAUCUCUUCAAAAGCUUCACAUUUGGGAUUGUGAAAAAUUAAGCAAGAUUGGAGAUGGAUUAUCUACCUCCACUUGUCUCAAAAAAUUACAUCUAGGCAAUUGUCCUGAUUUAAGUUCGAUCCCAAAUUUGGAAGGAUUUUCCUCUCUUCAAGAUCUGUCAGUUUGGGGGUGCCUCAAAUUGGAAGUUCUUCCAAUAACGGGACAAUGUUAUUCUCUUGAAAAGCUUCGCAUUUGCGAUUGUGAAAAAUUAAGCAAGAUUGGAGAUGGAUUAUCUACCUCCACUUGUCUCAAAAAAUUAAAUCUAAUCAUUUGUCCUGAUUUAAGUUCGAUCCCAAAUUUGGAAGGAUUUUCCUCUCUUCAAUAUCUGUCAGUUCGAUGUUGCAAGAAAUUGGAAGUUCUUCCAAUAACCGGAGGAUGUUCAUCUCUUGAAAAGCUUCGCAUUUCCAGUUGUGAAAAAUUAAGCAAGAUUGGAGAUGGAUUAUCUACCUCCACUUGUCUCAAAAAAUUAGAUCUAGUAGAUUGUCCUGAUUUAAGUUCGAUCCCAAAUUUGGAAGGAUUUUCCUCUCUUCAAGAUCUGUCAGUUUGGAGGUGCCUCAAAUUGGAAGUUCUUCCAAUAACCGGAGGAUGUUCAUCUCUUGAAGAGCUUUCCAUUUACAGUUGUGAAAAAUUAAGCAAGAUUGGAGAUGGAUUAUCUACCUCCACUUGUCUCAAAAAAUUAAAUCUAGCAGAUUGUCCUGAUUUAAGUUCGAUCCCAAAUUUGGAAGGAUUUUCCUCUCUUCAAUAUCUGUCAGUUCGAAGGUGCGACAAAUUGGAAGUUCUUCCAAUAACAGCACCACUGUCAUCGCUUAAAAAAAUGUUGAUAGGUGAUUGCCCUAAUUUGAGGCCCAUUCCAAGUUUAGAUGGACUCUCUUCUCUCACAGAAUUAGAAAUUGGGAAAGUAGGCGAAGGAUGGAGUCGUCUGCUACCAAAUAUGUUGCAAUCCAACGUUUCCCUUUGCAGUCUAACAAUAUUAAAUAUUCCUGAUCUGAUAUGGAUUCAAGAUGACAGCCUUGGUAGGCUUAACUGCUUGAGAGAAUUAGCUAUCGGUGGUUUCUCAGAAAAGCUACAAGAAUUCCCGGGGUCCAGUUCCAUUCGAUAUCUGAGUGCCUCCCUUCUAGUUCUAAAACUGACUGGUUGGGAAAAGCUAAAGAGUCUUCCUCACCAACUUCAGUUCUUGACUGCCCUCGAAGAAUUGACGAUAGAAGGGUUUCAAGGAGUAGAAGCCUUUCCAGAGUGGUUGGGAAAUCUCUCUUCUCUGAAGCGUCUAUAUUUGAGUGGUUUUGGAAAGCUAAAGAGUCUUCCUCACCAACUUCAUCUCCCCAGUACCCUUGAAGAGUUGACUAUUGACAAUUUUCAUGAAAUAGAAGCCUUGCCAGACUCGUUCAGAAAUCUCUCUUCUCUAGGGUGUCUGAGUAUCCAGUUCUGUGAUAAGCUCAUGUACUUGCCUUCUGUAGAUGUUAUGCGAAGCCUCUCCAAAUUAAUAAGAAUGAACAUUAAAGGGUGUCCUCUAUUAGAGACAAGAUGUGAGCGGGAGAGUGGCCCUGAAUGGUCCAAGAUUUCCCACAUUCCACAUGUAUAUAUUAAUCAUCGGAGGUAAGUUCAGUUACUUGAACCACAACUCUGCAUCUUUUGGCUUUUGAUAUAAAAUAUACUAAUCCUCUCUUGAUACUUUUUAUAGUUAUACCGUUUGUUCUUCUCAUCCUAAGUUACUUGAUUUUGUCUCAUAUAAAUCCUUCUUUUAAAAUUUUUUUGGCUUUUGUGGCAUAAUGUUGCAGGACUAAUUGGGGCAUCAAAUCUGUUAGAAAAUGGACUGCAAAGCAACAAACAAGUUGAUAUGCAACUUGGUUUCAUAAUGAUAGCUAUAAUGCUUUCAUCUUUUGCUUUCAUAAUGAUAGCCAAAUUUGGUGGAGUAGGUAGUAUUUGGUGAUGUAUUUGACUAUAAAUGUAUUGUUUUUCUAGUUGAAUGAAUGAGCUGAAUGAGCUAUCAGCCAUUAGCUCCCUUGCAGCACGUUUGUGAGCAAGUAAAUUGUUUUUGUUUCUUCCUCCUUUGUUCUUUGUCUUGUUUUCUUUCUUUUUGCUGCUGCCAAUGUAGGAUCAACAGUGCAAGCACUUUCGAAUCAAAGGCAUCACCCAGGAAGACUAGAAGAUGAAGAAUGCUGGUCCGUAAUUGAACAACUAGCAUUGACACCCUUUCCAAUGUCUCACGAAUUAGAGCUUAUUGGAAAGGAGAUUGCUAUGCAGUGUCGAGGUCUGCCAUUGUUAGCUAAAGUUAUUGGAGGGACAAUGCGCAAAGAAAGGAGCCACGGCACAUGGUUGGAAAUUCAAGAAAGUGGAGUAUGGGGUUCAGCGGACAGUGAGUCAGUGGAAAGUGUGUUAAAAUUAAGUUUUGAUCGCUUGCCUUCUCCAUCUUUGAAGAAGUGUUUUGCGUACUGUGCCAUGUUUCCGAAAGAUUAUUGCUUUGAAACAGAGGAAUUGAAGCAACUGUGGAUGGCUGAAGGAUUUCUUGGCAGCCCUAUGGCAAUGGUGGAUAUUGGUGACAAAUACUUGAAUGAGUUGUUAUCAAAUUCCUUAUUUCAAGAUGUCGAGAAGGACAAAUUCGGGAAUAUUCUCACAUUCAAGAUGCACGACUCGGUGCAUGAUCUAUCUUUGUCUGUGUCAAAGUUUGAUACUUUGUUUUUUCAAGAGAAAUCCAGUCUCACCUCAAAAGAGUGUUCUCAUAUUCGUCAUCUCAAUGUUGGGUGCGAUGGGGAAUCAUUACCAGAAAUUUUAACAGCGGUUGCUCCGAAAUUAUACUCGUUGUUUUCAGAGAUUGAUGUGUUCAAGAAACUAUCAAAAAGCUUCACAAGAUUAAGAGUCCUAAAGUUUGUUGGCGCUGCUAAUAUUUGUGAGUUGCCAGAUUCCCUUGGAGAAUUGAAGCACUUGAGGUAUUUGGAUGUCUCAAGGACUUCUAUCAAAGCACUGCUGAAGUCCGCAACCAAACUUUACAAUCUGCAAACAUUGAGGCUCUUGGGUUUACUGAGACUCACACUUCCAGAUGGAUUGGAAAUUUUGACAAGCUUGAAGCACUUGUAUUUUGAUAAAAAAGAACAUCAACUAGUUAAUAUUGGAAACCUAACUUGUCUUCAAACAUUACCCAUAUUUUUUGUGGGAUCAGAAAGGGGGCAUUCGAUUAAGGAGUUAGGAUCCCUAGACGAACUGCGUGGAGAAUUGAAGAUAUG